CUUGACGACCAUAGAGCAUUGGAACCACCUGAUCCCAUCCCGAACUCAGUAGAACCACCUGAUCCCAUCCCGAACUCAGUAGUGAAACGAUGCAUCGCCGAUGGUAGUGUGGGGUUUCCCCAUGUGAGAGUAGGUCAUCGUCAAGA
rnacentral:rRNA from 1 species